rnacentral:lncRNA from 1 species
GCUGAAGACGCCCAGGAGCUAUCCUUCCUCACAGUGCUCUGUCAAUUAGUCUGGCUCCACCUAGCCUCAGCCCACUUCUGUUUUAUGCCUGUGGCUAUUGGUAGCAAGAAAAUCAGUGGUCACACUAACCGAAGACUAAACGCGGGCCCAGGGAACCAGGAGUGAACUGGGAUCUGACAUCUUCUGUAACCAGAAGUAUUCCAGGGACAACACUUCCAAGCAUGGACUGAGCCGCUACCUUAGGCCAUGCCAGCCUGGCACUUCAGUUGAACUCAUCCAAGCCACCAGUGUCAAGGUAUUUGUCACUACCCAAUAAAAACCCAACAGCAAAUCAAGUCAGUAGGAUUACUCCAAAACAAUUAUUGGAAUCAAGUCAUCCCUUCUCUGUAUCUGCCCUUCAAUAGGAGGGUAAGAGCAAUGGUGACCAAGGUAUGUGGCCAAACAUGACUUUCAUGGCUAUUGCUCAUGUCUGGGUGGGACCUUGAAGGUAGUUUUGACUUGACAAUAUUGCUAUAAAAUUUUUCUUAAUGUUUUAAACCAAAAGGUGUUCAUCUGGCAAAGAAUCAUCAUUAUUGUAACUUAUCUUUAC